UUAAAAAGUUAAGCUCGCCAUGUAAAACCGAUUAGUGCGAAAGCGUGCAUCAUUCAUUUUCAUUGUCAAUUGACCGAACCGGGGUGUUGCUGCCGUGUUUGUGCGCGUUACGUGAAAAAGCGUCGUUUGGUAAAAGUGCAGAAUCGUUCGGCAAGUGCCGAACAAAUUAUCCAGUGUAUGAUCCUGUGCCAUUAAACACAGUUUCACUCUCGCCACACACUUAUCACUAAACAACGUACAAAAUGUCAGAACGCCGCAGCGAGAGGGCACACGAGACGGAAACGUUGUUGCUGUACAACACAGUCGCUGCUAAUCGUACAGUUUUGAUCGCGACAGACUGAACAUUAAACAUUUAAAGGACAUUUUAUCUGUAUUGCUGCUGUUCGACAUUCAGUUCGCACAUCAAUAAAGGGAAGCAAAACACACAGGGGUGGAGUAUUUCGGAGUAUGACUCGACGUCGUCGACUCAACCAAUUUCUUAAGGUGCUGCUCGAUCGGGAGAGCACAAGCUGCCAUCGUUUUGUAAGCGUUAUCACACAGUCCCUCCUUUCAAGAAACUGUGAUUGAUUGCCAGCAGGCUAGAAAUGCAAACGAUAGCAGUACCGAAAGCUAUCAGUAGAGUGUAGAGCUCCACCGCAACGACCAUCGGCAUGUAUUUUUGCAGCGUGCUAAUUAAUUGUGGAGCAGCACUAGCGCGAUCCGAUUCAACCCACUCAACAUUAUUGCUACCCAGCGAAUCGAUCGAUAACAAUCCGCGUGACCAUGAACACACAUACACAAAUACAAACUGAGAAUAUUAUUGAAGUGCACGAAUAAAUAGUAAAACGCCAGCGCUACUAGAACUUGCUGAUCAAAGAUGGAAGAUUGGAUUUUUUAUGGGUACAUUUCAAGGUAUCGAAUCGAAGAAAUAGGUACAGCAUACAACACUAUCACAUUGCAGUUGAGAUAAUGGUAAACUAACGAGAACUGUUUUAGGCAGGCAGACAAACAAAUCGUGCCUAACACACUCACACACACACAAAUCAUGCUUCCGUGCAAACUUUCCAACAUGCUGCACUGUCACUGGAAGAAGUUUAGUCCCUUCCCUUGAUCAGACACUGACACAAAACUUUGCCAAACCAAACUACAUCUUUUGAUCUUAGUACGAUCGGAUCUCCCGGCAACUACACGGUACACACCAGAACACACCAUCUGAUCACCAGACGGUCUCUUUUCGCUCACUAUCUCACUAUUGCGCACCAAGAGCUGUGUAAACAGCGGUUGCUGAAACAUCCGUACGGAUGUUAUGUAUUCUCCUUCGUUCGGCUUCACACCCCCCAAUCCAACACGCAGCAGCAGUGAUCUCUGUUGACACAGCACGCGUUAAAAAUAAACUAUUUUUUCACAUACACAAACGUGCACCAUCAUCCUUGACAUUGCUCCUUCUCUAAAUAAAAUAAAAAUCAACACACAUCCGCUGGGAGGCAAAAUAGUGAACUGCACAAAACCUGCUGGAACACCGAAAGGCUCUCCUAUUUCCCGAGUCGCUACGCCACCAAGACGGCCGGCUAGACCACUCUACUACUGCGGCCCACUUUCUACAACGUUCGACGAAUGUCAACGAUCGACUGAGCGGCAAACCGCACAACGAAGCCAAAGCACAACCCACACUGUUGGGGGGACGGCGCGACUAAGGGUAAAGUUUUGCCGACACAAAUUGACAGAACCAGCGAGCGAGCGCAACAGCGAAAACCCGCGCGCGCUCUCGCUUCGCAAGGAAGAGCGACGAGCGAGCAAGCAGCAGUACUACGAAUUAUGUGUGUCCAGGGCGCGUGAGUCCAGCGUCGGCGUACGGUGUAGGGUCCGAACCACUGUGCCCCACCUUGCUGCGCUCGGGGAUUUAGAAACACACCCAUAUACUAGCGGCCCAACGCAUUCCCGUACACACCACCCGUCGGGAGGAGCGCACCAACCCGCCAGGCUGCCCCACCCAAGCGAUUCUUGCGUUCACCCAACGCCCUUCAUGCGGCUUCUUGCCGGACAGCUGGACUGGAGAACUACUAACUUCUCAAUUACACCCGCUCCACCCGGGCGGUUCGCUGUGGUCAGGUCAAGCAGUAGCAGCAAGCAAACUCAACUGGAAACGAAACGAGAGAACACACCAAACUCAAUAUAAUCCCUACGGCGAGACCGAGCCACAUACAAUCGCCCCGAGGAAUUCCUAUGUUUACUCUUGCUAUAUGUAUGUAUGGGCCUGUGAGUGUGUGUAUGAGAGUCUCAGAGAGUCACAUUCGUCUAAUCUAAUUUCCAUUCGAUGAUGGAUGAAUCCCGGCCCCGCCGUCGAUUGCUCUGCUUGCUCUUUCUAACUCUCUUUCUCUCGCACUCCAAUGCUGCGUGCUCAUCGCUAUCAGUGAAGACUGACAGCAACGAUGUUCCAAAUGAAUCAUGGACACCACCCAAUAGCCCUCUCUUUCCUCUGUACAGUCCUGAAACUCCCCCCGCGAACGCCUAUAGAAGCAGUUGAUGGUUUGUUUCCGCAGUACGAGGAGAGUGCAGCACACUAAUGAAUAAAAAUCACCAUCGAUUGCGUUUGGCUGUGUGUAGGGUCGUGUGUUGCGGCAAAGGUACGUCAUUCUCUAUCACACUUUGACGGUUCGAUGACGAGAGCAUGGCAAAUAUAGAAAAUGUAAGCGCGAAGUUGCAAAACAUAAGCGUAUUAUUAUUAUCAGCAGCGCAGUUGUUUGUGCUGUAGCAGAGAUUGCAUUGUGUGGCGGCUUGUCAUUGGCAAAUGCACCUUCUUUCCUCUAUUCAAAACCUAGUGCGCAGAGUGUGUGUCUGCAAACUUGCGUCAAUCAGAGAAGUACUAGGACGGAGAUAGUUCAUACAACCACCAAUAGAGCAGGCGCUGGAACACGUGGCUCAUGUAAAUAUUAUAACCUUUCCAACACGUGGGAUGGUGUUGGUUCUGUUGUCUUUCACUGUUCUCACGCGGUUUCAUACUAACUUUAUUAAGCGACUCCAAACGUUAUGUUUGAACACACCAAGGAUAGUGGAUUGAAUUCUUAUCUCAGAAAGUCUUUAAGAAUCUUAGUUUUUCGGAUUCGGUAUUCUAAACAAAUCAAGCAUUCAAAAAAUACAUUUUAAAACCAUCCUGUAUGAAACUAUCUAAGGAACCAUUAAUUAUUUAUCAAUUAAUCGAUCAAUAAAUUAAUUAAUUAGAUAAUUGUCUGUUUCUUUAAAAAACGAUCAGUGCAUGUAGACUAUUGAAAAAUUAAGAAAAUUUUCAUCUUUUUACCUUUUUGAGGGAUUUGAGUGGUUACCCACAGGCUAUAGCAACUCUCUAAUAUAAAAAAAAAUAGUCCUUAGCACCGUACGACCGUAAACCAAAAAUAUCUAUCUCCGUGGCAGGUGUUCGUUCAGUCCAAAAAGCUUUCUUCCGAACUAAUCGACGACUAAUGUUCGUGAGGCACGCGAUUGCGGCGUCUUUUAAAUACGUUACUGCUUUUCGAAAUGUGACAUCAAAUCAUCGGUCGAGAUAACAUGGUCAAGUAUAUCGCCUUGCCCCAACAGCUUGAUUGACUGAUGCCGUGGCUAUUUUGGUGAAAAGCAAAUAAAAAAUCAAUAAUACCUUCGAACAGUAGUAGUUUGGCACUUUAAUUUUUCAAAAGAAGCCCUACUUCAAUCAUUAGAAAACAAAACAGCCUUAUUUCUUGACCAUCGUUAAUAGUGUAUAUAUUUUAAUUCAAUUAAGGAUAGCUACUCGUCCCAACAGGAGUAAAGGAGUCACUCGACAUAAUUGGCUUUUUAUAGCUACAGCACGGAGGACGAUAACAAAGAUGUACAAGAUUAAGAUUUAUUGCACCUUUUUAUCGCUCUUUGAAAUAAAAAACGUACAAGUGGAAGGACACACAAAUUGAACAGUGUUCGCAAAAGAAAAUUGCGCGUUGCCGCAGCCCGUCUGCCCACCACGCUAUUUAA